GACGAACGCUGGCGGCGUGCUUAACACAUGCAAGUCGAACGAAGUGGCGAACGGGUGAGUAACGCGUAAUCAACCUGCCCUUCAGAGGAGGACAACAGGUGGAAACGACUGCUAAUACCGCAUACUGAAGGAGGGGACUCCGUCUGAUGCGCGAUUUGGAGGGGUAACGGCCCACAAAGGCGAUGAUCAGUAGCCGGUCUGAGAGGAUGAACAGUCACACGGGAACUGAGACACGGGCCAGACUCCUACGGGAGGCAGCAGUGGGGAAUAUUGGACAAUGGGCGAAAGCCUGAUCCAGCCAUGCCGCGUGUGUGAAGAAGGUCUUCGGAUUGUAAAGCACUUUCAGUUGGGAGGCGUUACCAACAGAAUAAGCACCGGCUAACUUCGUGCCAGCAGCCGCGGUAAUAC
rnacentral:rRNA from 1 species